rnacentral:rRNA from 1 species
UCCUGGCUCAGGAUGAACGCUGGCGGCGUGCCUAAUACAUGCAAGUCGAGCGAACGGACGAGAAGCUUGCUUCUCUGAUGUUAGCGGCGGACGGGUGAGUAACACGUGGAUAACCUACCUAUAAGACUGGGAUAACUUCGGGAAACCGGAGCUAAUACCGGAUAAUAUUUUGAACCGCAUGGUUCAAAAGUGAAAGACGGUCUUGCUGUCACUUAUAGAUGGAUCCGCGCUGCA